UAGGAAUAUGCCUUAAAGUGGGGGACAACCUGGGGAAACUCAGGCUAAUACCGCAUAAUCUCUGAGGAGAGAAGCUGGGGACCUUCGGGCCUGGCGCUUUAAGAUUAGCCUGCGUACGAUUAGCUAGUUGGUAGGGUAAAGCCUACCAAGGCGACGAUCGUUAGCUGGUCUGAGAGGAUGAUCAGCCACACUAGGACUGAGAUACCGGCCCAGACUCCGUACGGGGAGCAG
rnacentral:rRNA from 1 species